ensembl:lncRNA
CUGGUAUAUCCUACUCAAACUUUGUAUUAUUUCCCACUUCCUUUGGUGUUCGACCUCUCAAGUUGGCUGCCUAAUGAAAAAGAGAUUGAGUAUGAUGAAGGGGAGCUGUAAACUAUGAAUGCGAUUCACCAAAGGAGCAGUUUGUGUCUACUACUGAAAAUACUCUCUCAGUCAGCACUUCUGGAAAAGGCAUGUGAACAAAUAAUUCUUCAGUGGAAGACUAUAAUAUUAUUAUAUAUCAGUCUGCAAUGAGUGAAAAAAUGGAGAACACUUUGUAAAGUUAGGUCGUAACACACUGAAAGUAAAUCCUCAGUUAUUUCAUAGCUGCAUAUACUAUAUUCUUGAGUGGUAUUAUUGAGUCUUCUGCUCUUAGCUUUGUUUCUUCAGCAGAAGUUAGGGUAGAUGAGAUCUGUGAGUUAAAGGAGCAUUUUUCAGCACAGGAUUAGUAAGAAGCUUGAACCAUGAGUUUUAGAUGCUUUGAUCUAGGCAAAGCCUUUGGGACGGUGGCAUUCAUUGAAUAUUAUAUAGCCAAAGGCUUUCCAGGAAUUCUUUUUCUCCAUAUUCAUGUAAGCGGGAACUUCUGAUUGUACUUCAAGUUGGGGUACAUAUCCAGCUCAUUUUUGUUCUCUGGUGAUUCCCAUCUUUUUUGUGUUAACUUGUUUGUAGUGUACAUAGUGC